GACAGAGGGUGCAAACGUUGUUCGGAAUUACUGGGCGUAAAGCGCGUGUAGGCGGUCGGGCAAGUCGGAUGUGAAAGCCCAGGGCUCAACCCUGGAAGUGCACUCGAUACUGCUCGGCUAGAGUCCCGGAGAGGAUGGUGGAACUCUCAGUGUAGAGGUGAAAUUCGUAGAUAUCGAGAAGAACACCGGUGGCGAAGGCGGCCAUCUGGACGGUGACUGACGCUGAGACGCGAAAGCGUGGGGAGCAAACAGG
rnacentral:rRNA from 1 species